GAUGAAGAACGUAGCGAAAUGCGAUAAGUAAUGUGAAUUGCAGAAUUCAGUGAAUCAUCGAAUCUUUGAACGCACCUUGCGCCCUUUGGCCAUUCCGAAGGGCAUGCCUGUUUGAGUAUCAUGAACACCUCAACUCUUUAUGGUUUUCCAUGAUGAGCGUGGACUUUGGGGGUUUUGCUGGCCUAUGGUCGGCUCCUCUAAAAUAAAUCAGCUUACCGGUGUUUGGUGGGUAUCAUGGGUGUGAUAACUAUCUACGCUUGUGGUUUUUCCACCAGGUAACCUUCGACAGCGGAGGUUCACUGGAGCUCAUAGAUGUCUCUCCUCAGCGAGGACAGCCCUUUGAAUGUUUGAUCUCAAAUCAGGUAGGACUACCCGCUGAACUUAAGCAUAUCAAUAAGCGGAGGA
rnacentral:misc_RNA from 1 species